rnacentral:rRNA from 1 species
CCUACGGGGAGCAGCAGUGAGGAAUAUUGGUCAAUGGACGAGAGUCUGAACCAGCCAAGUAGCGUGAAGGAUGACUGCCCUAUGGGUUGUAAACUUCUUUUAUAUGGGAAUAAAAUGUUCCACGUGUGGGAUUUUGUAUGUACCAUAUGAAUAAGGAUCGGCUAACUCCGUGCCAGCAGCCGCGGUAAUACGGAGGAUCCGAGCGUUAUCCGGAUUUAUUGGGUUUAAAGGGAGCGUAGGUGGAUUGUUAAGUCAGUUGUGAAAGUUUGCGGCUCAACCGUAAAAUUGCAGUUGAAACUGGCAGUCUUGAGUACAGUAGAGGUGGGCGGAAUGCGUGGUGUAGCGGUGAAAUGCUUAGAUAUCACGAAGAACUCCGAUUGCGAAGGCAGUUCACUGGACUGCAACUGACACUGAGGCUCGAAAGUGUGGGUAUCAAACAGGAUUAGAUACCCCAGUAGUC